rnacentral:rRNA from 1 species
GACGUAGGGCGCGAGCGUUGUCCGGAUUUAUUGGGCGUAAAGAGCUCGUAGGCGGCUUGUCGCGUCGUCCGUGAAAACUUGGGGCUCAACCCCAAGCUUGCGGUCGAUACGGGCAGGCUAGAGUUCGGUAGGGGAGACUGGAAUUCCUGGUGUAGCGGUGAAAUGCGCAGAUAUCAGGAGGAACACCGGUGGCGAAGGCGGGUCUCUGGGCCGAUACUGACGCUGAGGCGCGAAAGCUAGGGGAGCAAACGGG